AUUGAACGCUGGCGGAAUGCUUUACACAUGCAAGUCGAACGGCAGCACGGGUGCUUGCACCUGGUGGCGAGUGGCGAACGGGUGAGUAAUAUAUCGGAACGUAUCCAAUAAUGGGGGAUAACUAGCCGAGAGGUUAGCUAAUACCGCAUACGCCCUGAGGGGGAAAGCUGGGGAUCGUAAGACCUAGCGUUGAUGGAGCGGCCGAUAUCUGAUUAGCUAGUUGGUGGGGUAAGAGCCUACCAAGGCGACGAUCAGUAGCUGGUCUGAGAGGACGACCAGCCACACUGGAACUGAGACACGGUCCAGACUCCUACGGGAGGCAGCAGUGGGGAAUUUUGGACAAUGGGGGCAACCCUGAUCCAGCCAUUCCGCGUGAGUGAAGAAGGCCUUCGGGUUGUAAAGCUCUUUCGCAAGGGAAGAAAACUCGACCUCUAAUAUAGGUUGAGGCUGACGGUACCUUGAUAAGAAGCACCGGCUAACUACGUGCCAGCAGCCGCAGUAA
rnacentral:rRNA from 1 species